ACGUGGAGACCAGCCAUUUGUUCGAUCACUGAUUUAUUCAGGAGACAUCUACAAAGUGCCAGGCAUCACCCCUUCUCGCUGCAGGAACAAGGAAGAACAAGGCAUGUGCCUGCUCAGCUCUGUGGGACUGACAAGCAAAUACACGGCGAACUUAAUGUGAUGCUGAUGUAAGCUGGGACACGGGCACAUGGAAGAGAGGAUCCAUUCUUACUAGGCAUUUCAGAAAAGACUGCAUAAAGAAGAUGGCAAAAGAACUGAGCUUUGAGAAAUUCUUAGAAGUAUGCUUUCAGACACUGCAAGAUAAGGAAUAGAAUGAGCAAAGGGAAAGAUACCCAGACAUAGAGAGAAAAGAAUGGAUGAGAACAAGACUAAAAGAAAGGGAUCAGAUCAUCAGGUGAUCUGAAUUGCUGAAGCAUCAACCUUCUAGAAGAAAAUGGCACAAACUCAGAAGUCAAGGAGGUGUGAUUGGGAACAGGGAAUCCGGUGAAGGAAAUAUCACCUCCACAUUUUACCAAAUUACAAGGCUGAAGAGGAAAGCCAGGUUGCUGGCUGAGGUUCUUACUGAGCUGAUGACCAAGAGCAACAUGUGUGUGGUAAUAACAACCCCAAAACAGACCCUUCCUUUCCAGUGGUAAUAGGAGCUGCACUGAUGAGUGUUCUCAGCAAUUCCCAGUGAAUGACAACCACAGAGCUUGCCUGAAAAAACAUGGGAAAUUCAUUCUUGAAAUGCCCUAGCUGUUAGCAGGGGAACCCACUGGGACAUUCUGGAAGUUUCCUUGGCCCAUUUGGAAGGCAAUAUCUUCUCAGGUGUGAGAUCUCUGGAGACUGGUCUCCCUCUUGGGGCUCUAGUUCUUUACCUGUAAAGCAGAGAUAAGAAUAA